ACGUCUGAUUGUCCUCCCAGGAGGGAGGGCGGGCUGAGGUGGGCGGCCAGUCGACCUUUACCUUUCUUGGCUCGUCCUGUUGGGGCAUGCUUUUCCCGCUUUUCCUGCUGGUCAGGAGGAGACAGGGGCUAAAAAACCUGACAAUUCUCCAUGGACUGAAGUUUUGACUUGGCAUGAGGGCUUCCUAUGGAAAAGAGGCUUGCUGAGUUUGAAGCUUGGAGCUUGAAGAGCAUGGCACCAACAUCUGUUCAGGACCUCCUUGCUGUUCACAAUAUGGCAUCAUGGCUAGCACAUGAAAGAAAUUGUUGGCCUGUAUUUAAUCAAAAAGAAGGGCUAAGAAGAACCUUCACAUGCAGUUCACAUCAACCCUGGGGCAACUGAAAGGUCAGGAUGACCUAUUAUGGCAGAGAAAAGGAAAAAAUUAAUGGGACAAAAACACACCGUAUGAAAUUCAGAAGUUUCUGACUAUACACUCUUUGUUUAAUGGACUCAUAUUCAUCAGCCAGAGAUGUCACCAACACCUGUUGGUGGUCACCCAGAGGGGAGAUGCCAUUUCCAGGAUGAUUCACAAAGUUGUUAGGUGACAACAAAUAUCAUAUAGUAAAGACAUGAUUUUGUAAGUAAUUUAUGUAGGGUAUUCUGGUUAUUGUAGAUGUUAAAGAAUCUUGUCAAAUUUGAAGGACUUUUUUAAAUUAUGAAAAUAAAACAUUACCUGAAAUUACUUCUUUCUGACAGAAUUAUUUUGAUUUAUUGAAAACAAAAUUUUGGUGCAGGCAGUGAAAAAAAUGUAUAUCUAUGUUACAUUGUGUCUUCCCAAGCAUUUGAAAAAGUCAUUCAUAUUUAUUGAUAUAUUGUUUUCCUUAAAAAAUGGUACUAUUUCAUAGUUCUGCAAAAAC